rnacentral:lncRNA from 1 species
UGGGAGGAUGGAUAGGCAAGGCUAGAGCCUGCAUCUGCAUGCUCGCUGGUGCCUUACAGGUUUCUUUAGAAAGCAGAGGAAAGAGCAGGCAGAACUGGGGUUCUCCUCCAGGUGCUCGGCAGCGCCCAGCCCCAGCUCAGAAAGCACAACACAUGAAUAAUCAGCACUAACGGAUGUCAGCCUCAUCACUGGAUGUUGGCAGAGGCUCAGAACAACACUGGAGAGAAACCGGGCAGGCCAUGCACCAACACACAGGGAAAAAUUCAGCUUUUCUCUGCAGAACUUCUGGGAGAACUCAGAAACAUGGGGAGACUCUUUGCUUGAUGAGAGCAGUAAGGUUGGUCUUUGCAGCUGGAACCUCACCUCACCAGCAGGCCAUUCUCCAGCAAACCUCCUUCAGGAUGGAAGGGCCAAAAGCAACAUGCUAA